AUAGAUGAAGCCAAGCAUGGGGCAGAGGCUGGGCCACACAGGGCCGCGGGGGCCAGGGCGACAGCAGCCACUCAUGGAUUUCUGAAGACAGAAGCAGGUGAAGACUUUUGCUUCAGAAAGAAAGGGGGAUUUUGUAAUGAAUAAUGGGCACACGAUUACCACAGAGUUUAUUUGAGGGAUCCUGCUUUUGGUGUCACAUCAAAGAACUCUGCCCAAUUCAAGUGUCUCCACCUCUCCUUCCUCUGUUGAAGACCGCCCUGCCUGCUCUUGCACCCAGCCAAUUCCUCCUCCCUCCCAUCGAGCCUGUUGUCGCCUCCUGGAAGAACUCUUCCCUGAGUCUGUGACCUCCCCCAGCACAUGGGACCUCCCGCAUCACAGUCCUGACGACAGUGCACUGUGAUUAUUCGGCGACUUGUCAAUUUCUCCACUUGACAGAACUUCCCGUGAGGACAGAGACCAGGACUGUCAUGAUCAGUGCUACAGCCCCAUCACCCAGCACAGCAACUGGCAAAUGAAAGGGUCUAUUGAACACAUGAAUGGGCUUUAAAAACAUUUCAGAAAAUCCCAAGACACAUUUUAUAAAAAUGGCCAAAAGGAUAUCCAUUAAGUGUUAUUCGUAAGUGCAAAAAUUAAGAACAGGCUGGAUGUGGUAGCUUGUGCCUAUAAUCCCAGCACUUUGGGAGGCCAAGGUGGGCAGAUCACUUGAGGUCAGGAGUUUGAGACCAGCCUGGCCAAUGUGGCAAAAUCCCAUCUCUACUAAAAACACAAAAAUUAGCUGGGCGUGGUGGCGGGUACCUAUAAUCCCAGCUACUCAGGAGGCUGAGGCAGGAUAAUUGCUUGAACCCGGGAGGUGAAGGUUGCAGUGAGCCGAGAUUGCGCCACUGCACUCCAGCCUGGGCGACAGAGCCAGACUCCACCUCAAAAAAAAAAAAAAAGAUUGUGCCACGGCACUCCAGCCUGGGCAACAGAGCAAGACUCCGUCAAAAAAAAAAAAAAAUUGAGACCAUCCCAAAUUCCAAUAGCAAGGAAAUUAAUGGGUAUGCAAUUUUGAGAUAUCUUUAUGAUGCGCUUUGUUGAAGCAAUUAAAAUUGAAUUUUCUCAAGAAUUUGUAAAGGCAUGAAGAAAAGCUUACGUUACGUGGUUAUGCAAAAAGUAAUCUAUAAUACUAUAUAUGAUGUCAUGUAAUCUCAACUAUUCAAAUACAUAUUUUUAAAUAGGAUGGAUAAAACACUGGAAGGAAAUAUCACAACAAAUCAUUUACAGUAAUUGCUUCUGGGACUCCUGAGAUUUCUUUUUCUUUCUUUUUUAUGUUUUCCUGUAACGCUAAAAAACAAAUAAACAAGAUCAAAA